AAUAGAUACCCUGGUAGUCCACGCCGUAAACGAUGAGUGCUAAGUGUUAGAGGGUUUCCGCCCUUUAGUGCUGCAGCUAACGCAUUAAGCACUCCGCCUGGGGAGUACGGCCGCAAGGCUGAAACUCAAAGGAAUUGACGGGGGCCCGCACAAGCGGUGGAGCAUGUGGUUUAAUUCGAAGCAACGCGAAGAACCUUACCAGGUCUUGACAUCCUCUGACAACCCUAGAGAUAGGGCUUUCCCCUUCGGGGGACAGAGUGACAGGUGGUGCAUGGUUGUCGUCAGCUCGUGUCGUGAGAUGUUGGGUUAAGUCCCGCAACGAGCGCAACCCUUGAUCUUAGUUGCCAGCAUUCAGUUGGGCACUCUAAGGUGACUGCCGGUGACAAACCGGAGGAAGGUGGGGAUGACGUCAAAUCAUCAUGCCCCUUAUGACCUGGGCUACACACGUGCUACAAUGGAUGGUACAAAGGGCUGCAAACCUGCGAAGGUAAGCGAAUCCAUAAAGCCAUUCUCAGUUCGGAUUGCAGG
rnacentral:rRNA from 1 species